rnacentral:sRNA from 1 species
GCCGGUCGCGGUGGCGCACACCUGUAAUCCCAGGGGCUCAGGAGGCUGAGACAGGAGGAUGAUGAGUUCAAAGCCAGCCUCAGCAAAGGCGGGGUGCUAAGCGACUCAAUGAGACCCUGUCUCUA